rnacentral:lncRNA from 1 species
UGACUUCCAGUGACUUUCCAAGGUCUAGCAUCCACACCAGUGACUUUUCAAGGUCUAGCAUCCACACCACCUGAUGAUUUAUGGUUCAGCACCCAUAUCAUCAUCAGGUUCGAAUUCAUCAGACUCUGUUAACUUAGGGUUGCCAGUCAGCGACAGCUACAUGCAUAUACUCUAUUACGAUGUGAUGAUCCAUGGUUGAUGCUGAGGGAAGUUACAUCCUGAUCUCCAUUUACCCUGCACCCGUGUUGUACUUUGCAGGAGUCGAACAGACGACUCCUGCAUCCAACAGUGGCAUGGUUUCGGACAGGAGCUUGUGAAAAAAGUGCAUGCAUGCACUUUGCUGAUGUACAUGUGUUAUACUGUACGGCAGUUGCUACAGUAUUCAGUUCUCAAUCGCCUGCAUCCGCUCGGUGUGUAUGUAUGUGUAUGUAUGUGUGUGUAUGGCGUUGCGAAAUGUCAACUGGCCGCCAGAAUGGACACUACUUCGUGCGUGGGUAUGUAUGUCCAUCAGAUUUGUGAAGUGAAGUAACACAUCCACACUAUGACACUAUGAUAUGAAGAUAAUUCGUGCACUCAGAAGGGAACAUCGAAGUGGAUACCCAGGUAGGAUUGCGCUUUACCUAAUGAACUGAAGUGAACAUAUCCCUGCAUGCUGUGUCAGCCAGUAGUCACGUGACGCAUGAUGUCAUGAUGCAGAUGGAUGUGGUAUGAUCAUCGGGACCCGAGGAUAAAAUAUAAAUGCUCCACUUCGAUGAGUCCUUUGAAAGAGGACUGGCAUGUCGCCCAUCACCCAUACACCAUCGAGUGAUAUGAUGAAGCACCGAGUGCACACCCAUACCAAUAUAAAUAAUAUACAUAUAUAUGUGUGUGUUUUAAUUGUUUAUCAUAUCACAUAUAUAUACACAUAUGAUACAAUAAAUAGAUC